rnacentral:rRNA from 1 species
UGGGGAAUAUUGCACAAUGGAGGGAACUCUGAUGCAGCGACGCCGCGUGAACGAAGAAGGCUUUCGAGUCGUAAAGUUCUUUUAUAUGGGAAGAUAAUGACGGUACCAUAAGAAAAAGCCCCGGCUAACUACGUGCCAGCAGCCGCGGUAAUACGUAGGGGGCUAGCGUUGUCCGGAAUCACUGGGCGUAAAGGGUUCGCAGGCGGGAAUGCAAGUCAGGUGUAAAAGGCAGUAGCUUAACUACUGUAAGCAUUUGAAACUGCAUAUCUUGAGAAGAGUAGAGGUAAGUGGAAUUUUUAGUGUAGCGGUGAAAUGCGUAGAUAUUAAAAAAAAUACCGGUGGCGAAGGCGACUUACUGGGCUCAUUCUGACGCUGAGGAACGAAAGCGUGGGUAGCAAACAGG